CUGGCCUGUAAGAUUAUCCAGCUGAACCUCAACCAACGGCCUUUUGCAAACUGAAGACCUGAAUAUUUGGAUCAUUCCCAUCAGGUGGUUAUUAGACUGGGCAAUGAACCUCUCUUUUAAGUCACUUCACGCUCGGGCCUCACUCUAGCUCUACUAAUCCAAGUAAUGAGAAGGAAGUUAGAUAUUUCAAGCUUCUCUGCUACACUCUGCAGAAAGUAUUUUACCCUCUGGACUAAACCUGAAGACUGAGGUAUUGUGAAGAAUAAAAAAAAGCCCCAGUAGUACAACUGCUUGGGUUCAUCACUCUCAAGAUUACCAGCUUUCUUUAGGAACAACAAAGCUGUCAACUUCAAGGGUGAAAAAUAUAAGAGCAGGACACAAUUUUCUCAGCAUCUCAUCCAAACACAGAACUCGCUUCUAAAGGAGUGGCUGCAGGUAUGGUUACAGAUGUCCCUGUUUUCAAAACAGAAGAUAAAGUUUGUGUCUUCAGUUUAAUCUUCAGUUUAAUGUCUCAAUAAA
rnacentral:lncRNA from 1 species